rnacentral:rRNA from 1 species
GAUGAACGCUGGCGGCGUGCUUAACACAUGCAAGUCGAACGAGAACGGAUUAUAGCUUGCUAUAAUUGUCAGCUAAGUGGCGCACGGGUGAGUGAUGUAUAGGUAAUAUGCCUUUUACUAAGGAAUAACAAAUGGAAACGUUUGCUAAUACCUUAUACUCCUUAUUAACAUAAGUUAAUAAGGGAAAGAUUUAUUGGUAAGAGAUUAGCCUGUAUUGUAUCAGUUAGUUGGUGGGGUAAUGGCUUACCAAGACUAUGACACAUAACUGGUUUGAGAGGAUGAUCAGUCACACUGGAACUGAGACACGGUCCAGACUCCUACGGGAGGCAGCAGUGGGGAAUAUUGCACAAUGGACGGAAGUUUGAUGCAGCAACGCCGCGUGGAGGAUGACACAUUUCGGUGUGUAAACUCCUUUUAUAUGAGAAGAUAAUGACGGUAUUAUAUGAAUAAGCACCGGCUAACUCCGUGCCAGCAGCCGCCGUAAGAC